CCUACGGGAGGCAGCAGUGAGGAAUAUUGCGCAAUGGGCGCAAGUCUGACGCAGCAACGCCGCGUAGAGGACGACGGCCUUCGGGUCGUAAACUCCUUUUCUGCCGGAUGAGUGGGGACAGUACGGCAGGAAUCAGCCUCGGCUAACUACGUGCCAGCAGCCGCGGUAAAACGUAGGAGGCGAGCGUUAUCCGGAUUUACUGGGCGUAAAGCGUGUGCAGGCGGCCUGGCAGGUCGGGCGUGAAAUCCCCUGGCUUAACCGGGGGGGGUCGUCCGAAACCGCCGGGCUUGAGGGCCGAAGAGGGACGUGGAAUUCCCGGUGUAGUGGUGAAAUGCGUAG
rnacentral:rRNA from 1 species